rnacentral:rRNA from 1 species
UACGGGGGGGGCAAGCGUUGUUCGGAAUUACUGGGCGUAAAGGGCUCGUAGGCGGCCAACUAAGUCAGACGUGAAAUCCCUCGGCUUAACCGGGGAACUGCGUCUGAUACUGGAUGGCUUGAGAUUGGGAGAGGGAUGCGGAAUUCCAGGUGUAGUGGUGAAAUGCGUAGAUAUUCGGAAGAACACCAGUGGCGAAGGCGACUCACUGGACACGUAUUGACGCUGAGGUGCGAAAGCGUGGGGAGCAAACAGG